rnacentral:rRNA from 1 species
AACUUUUGACGGUGGAUCUCUUGGCUCACGCAUCGAUGAAGAACGCGGCCAGCUGCGAUAAGUAGUGUGAAUUGCAGAAUUCAGUGAAUCAUCGAAUCUUUGAACGCAAAUGGCGCUCUUGGGUUCUCCCAGGAGCAUGUCUGUCUGAGUGUCGGAUA